AUGUGCAGCAAUAAGGAAAAGUAGGCAACUCUAAAAUGAAUGGAAAAAAAACUAUCCCAAAAAAUGAGGUAUGCGUCAUGUCAUUUACUAAAAGAAUAAAACAUCCUUCAUGGACCCUCAUAAGCUUAAAACAAAC